UACGUAGGGGGCAAGCGUUGUCCGGAUUUAUUGGGCGUAAAGAGCGUGUAGGCGGCCAGGUAGGUCUGCUGUGAAAACUCGAGGCUCAACCUCGAGAUGUCGGCGGAAACCAUCUGGCUAGAGUCCGGAAGAGGAGAAUGGAAUUCCCGGUGUAGCGGUGAAAUGCGCAGAUAUCGGGAAGAACACCCGUGGCGAAGGCGGUUCUCUGGGAAGGUACUGACGCUGAGACGCGAAAGCGUGGGGAGCGAACAGG
rnacentral:rRNA from 1 species